rnacentral:rRNA from 1 species
AUUGAACGCUGGCGGCAUGCUUUACACAUGCAAGUCGAACGGUAACAGGCCGCAAGUUGCUGACGAGUGGCGGACGGGUGAGUAAUGCAUCGGAACGUGCCCAGUCGUGGGGGAUAAGUACUCGAAAGAGUAGCUAAUACCGCAUACGAUCUAUGGAUGAAAGCCGUGGACCGUAGUGGCUCGCGCGGUUGGUGCGGCCGAUGUCAGAUUAGGUAGUUGGUGGGGUAAAGGCUCACCAAGCCAACGAUCUGUAGCUGGUCUGAGAGGACGACCAGCCACACUGGAACUGAGACACGGCCCAGACUCCUACGGGAGGCAGCAGUGGGGAAUUUUGGACAAUGGGCGCAAGCCUGAUGCAGCAAUGCCGCGUGCAGGAAGAAGGCCUUCGGGUUGUAAACUGCUUUUGUACGGAACGAAACGGUUCUGGUUAAUACCCGGGGCUAAUGACGGUACCGAAAGAAUAAGCACCGGCUAACUACGUG